UACGAAGGGGGCUAGCGUUGCUCGGAAUCACUGGGCGUAAAGCGCACGUAGGCGGGUUGCUAAGUCAGGGGUGAAAUCCUGGAGCUCAACUCCAGAACUGCCUUUGAUACUGAAGAUCUUGAGUCCGGGAGAGGUGAGUGGAACUGCGAGUGUAGAGGUGAAAUUCGUAGAUAUUCGCAAGAACACCAGUGGCGAAGGCGGCUCACUGGCCCGGUACUGACGCUGAGGCACGAAAGCGUGGGGAGCAAACAGG
rnacentral:rRNA from 1 species